rnacentral:rRNA from 1 species
GGCGAACGCUGGCGGUAGGCCUAACACAUGCAAGUCGAACGGCAGCACAGAGGAGCUUGCUCCUUGGGUGGCGAGUGGCGGACGGGUGAGGAAUACAUCGGAAUCUACUCUGUCGUGGGGGAUAACAUAGGGAAACUUACGCUAAUACCGCAUACGACCUACGGGUGAAAGCAGGGGACCUUCGGGCCCUGCGCGAUUGAAUGAGCCGAUGUCGGAUUAGCUAGUUGGCGGGGUAAAGGCCCACCAAGGCGACGAUCCGUAGCUGGUCUGAGAGGAUGAGCAGCCACACUGGAACUGGGACACGGUCCAGACUCCUACGGGAGGCAGCAGUGGGGAAUAUUGGACAAUGGGCGCAAGCCUGAUCCAGCCAUACCGCGUGGGUGAAGAAGGCCUUCGGGUUGUAAAGCCCUUUUGUUGGGAAAGAAAUCCAGCUGGCUAAUACCCGGUUGGGAUGACGGUACCCAAAGAAUAAGCACCGGCUAACUUCGUGCCAGCAGCCGCGGUAAAAC